CAGUCGCCGCGGUAAAACGAAGGGUGCAAGCGUUACUCGGAAUUACUGGGCGUAAAGCGUGCGUAGGUGGUGGUUUAAGUCUGUUGUGAAAUCCCCAGGCUCAACCUGGGAAUGGCAAUGGAUACUGGCAAGCUAGAGUGUGUCAGAGGAUGGUGGAAUUCCCGGUGUAGCGGUGAAAUGCGUAGAGAUCGGGAGGAACAUCAGUGGCGAAGGCGGCCAUCUGGGACAACACUGACGCUGAGGCACGAAAGCGUGGGGAGCAAACAGGAUUAGAUACCCGCGUAGUCCCUGUCUCUUAUAC
rnacentral:rRNA from 1 species